rnacentral:rRNA from 1 species
GUUGACCUCGAAUCAGGUAGGAAUACCCGCUGAACUUAAGCAUAUCAAUAAGCGGAGGAAAAGAAACCAA